rnacentral:rRNA from 1 species
CAGUCGCCAGCGGGAAUACGAAGGGGGCUAGCGUUGUUCGGAAUUACUGGGCGUAAAGCGCACGUAGGCGGAUCGAUCAGUCAGGGGUGAAAUCCCAGGGCUCAACCCUGGAACUGCCUUUGAUACUGUCGAUCUGGAGUAUGGAAGAGGUGAGUGGAAUUCCGAGUGUAGAGGUGAAAUUCGUAGAUAUUCGGAGGAACACCAGUGGCGAAGGCGGCUCACUGGUCCAUUACUGACGCUGAGGUGCGAAAGCGUGGGGAGCAAACAGGAUUAGAUACCCCGGUAGUCCCUGUCUCUUAUA